AGGAUUGUGCGCAUCGGGCGAUCCUUGACGCGCAACGCCGCGUGGAUGGAUGAAGGCCUUCGGGUUGUAAACUCCUUGUCGAGCGGGACGAAUGGGCGGGGCCGCUACUCCGGGGGCGGGACGGUCCCUGCCAGGAGCCCCCGGGAUAACUCUGUCCCACCCCCCGGGUAUAUAA
rnacentral:rRNA from 1 species